rnacentral:rRNA from 1 species
GACGAACGCUGGCGGCGUGCUUAACACAUGCAAGUCGAACGAAGUGGCGAACGGGUGAGUAACGCGGAAUAAACCUGCCCUUCAGAGGGGGAUAACAGUUGGAAACGACUGCUAAUACCGCAUACUGAAGGAGGGGAUUGCGGCUGAUUAGCUAGUUGGAGGGGUAACGGCCGACCAAGGCGAUGAUCAGUAGCCGGUCUUGGGGGAUGAACGGCCACAUCGGGACUGGGACACGGCCCAGACUCCUACGGGAGGCAGCAGUGGGGAAACUUCCGCAAUGGACGAAAGUCUGACGGAGCAACGCCGCGGGAGUGAUGACGGCCUUCGGGUUGUAAAGCUCUGUUAAUCGGGACGCGGUACCGGAAUAGAAAGCCACGGCUAACUACGUGCCAGCAGCCGCGGUAAUAC